UGACGGUGUGGGUGAUUUUCCUGGUGCGCUGUUGCAGCAACGACACUGGGGCUGUCUUGAGCAUGACGGGAAGGUUGUACCUACCCUAUGGCUAGUGUAGCUUUAUCCGCUAGCCACAUGUAGUGUACAGCUGCUCACUAGCUUGUUGGAGCAGGAGAAUGUUAGCAUUCCAAACGAUACAUAUGUCAAUGCCAGUUUUGAAUUGCUAAAAGAAUGCGUGAAUAGGCAUCGGGAGUUAUUUUGGUCAUUUUACUUUGAAAAUCUGGAUAACCUUCACUGGUGUCCACAAAUCACUGGAAACAAGUUGGUUAAAGAUGCAAAUGGAUAAAAAAUCAAGAAAAGUUCGGAAUCAGGACAUUAACCCAUGCAUUGAAGAAAGUGAUGCCUCCCAGAAGUGUUUGGACGCCUACAACUAUGACAAAAGCAUGUGUUCAGCCUAUUUCCAGAGAUAUAAGAACUGCAGGAAAUACUGGAGGAUGUCAGUUGAGUAGGCGGUCCUUCAGCGUGGCCCAGGAUACAUGUGGACACGCUGUUAAAAGACUGUGUUCAAAUGCAGCCCAGCCCACCCCCGAAUGUGAUCUGAGUGAUCGGAUUGAAAAAGUGUCCUCAGUACAUGUUGGCUGCAUUCGCAUCUGUACUUGGAGCUGUCCACUUGAGACUGGAUCCCUCAGGAUGCAUCUUAAUGCCAUGUGUCUGGAAGGGGCUUUAGUUUAUACACAACAUCAUGCUGGAGAGGAGAAGAGAAGGCGUGAAACCCGACAUGCCAACUGCUGCAGAGAGGCAGGAGCGGCUCGCUGCUCUCGGAGGCAAACCAUACUAAGAGUCAACUGAGUGGACACUGAAGACCAGCAGACCCACACGCUCACUUACUACAGGGCAGCACUUUCCCAUGGUGCCACUACCACACCUAGGAUGGGUGGGUACUGUGGUCCAAGGCCAGGCCUGUCCUCCUUUCUCAGGUUGUGUGGAGGUGGCUAUGCGUCGCUGGUCCUUUCUCAAAUAAAAUGUAAGAAGCAGGAAGUAACAGAAUAAGAGGAUCGCAAAUAAAUAAUAUACCUCAAUACAGUGGUUUGUGUUUGAAGGGUAAAGUCCGGUGCAUGUUUUGAAUUAUUAAAUUAUUACAAAACCAAUUUACAACUGUGUAAAGGUGUGUUCAAGGUCCUUAAAAAUUAUACACAUGGUUGAACCCAUGAGUUCAUGUGUCAAAGAACCUGUGUCAAUGAUUAAUACAUGGUGAAGUGUGCAGCCUG